rnacentral:rRNA from 1 species
CGCGUAGGGGGCAAGCGUUGUCCGGAUUUAUUGGGCGUAAAGAGCUCGUAGGUGGUUCGGUAAGUCGGGUGUUAAACCCCCAGGCUCAACCUGGGGACGCCACUCGAUACUGCUGUGACUAGAGUCCGGUAGGGGAGCGUGGAAUUCCUGGUGUAGCGGUGAAAUGCGCAGAUAUCAGGAGGAACACCAGCGGCGAAGGCGGCGCUCUGGGCCGGUACUGACACUGAGGAGCGAAAGCGUGGGUAGCAAACAGG